rnacentral:rRNA from 1 species
AGGAUGAACGCUGGCGGCGUGCCUAAAACAUGCAAGUCGAGCGGUAAGGCCCUUUCGGGGGUACACGAGCGGCGGACGGGUGAGUAACACGUGGGAAUCUACCCCAAACUGAGGGAUAAGCACCGGAAACGGUGUCUAAUACCGCAUACGGUCUUCGGAUUAAAGCUUCGGCGGUUUGGGAAGAGCCCGCGUAAGAUUAGCUAGUUGGUGAGGUAAAGGCUCACCAAGGCUACGAUCUUUAGCUGGUUUGAGAGGAUGAUCAGCCACACUGGAACUGAGACACGGUCCAGACUCCUACGGGAGGCAGCAGUUAGGAAUUUUCCACAAUGGCGCAAGCCUGAUGGAGCAACGCCGCGUGCAGGAUGAAGGCCUUAGGGUUGUAAACUGCUUUUAUACGUGACGAAUAUGACGGUAGCGUAUGAAUAAGGAUCGGCUAACUCCGCGCCAGCAGCCGC